GAUGAACGCUGGCGGCGUGCCUAAUACAUGCAAGUCGAGCGAACGGACGAGAAGCUUGCUUCUCUGAUGUUAGCGGCGGACGGGUGAGUAACACGUGGAUAACCUACCUAUAAGACUUGGAUAACUUCGGGAAACCGUAGCUAAUACCGGAUAAUAUUUUGAACCGCAUGGUUCAAAAGUGAAAGACGGUCUUGCUGUCACUUAUAGAUGGAUCCGCGCUGCAUUAGCUAGUUGGUAAGGUAACGGCUUACCAAGGCAACGAUGCAUAGCCGACCUGAGAGGGUGAUCGGCCACACUGGAACUGAGACACGGUCCAGACUCCUACGGGAGGCAGCAGUAGGGAAUCUUCCGCAAUGGGCGAAAGCCUGACGGAGCAACGCCGCGUGAGUGAUGAAGGUCUUCGGAUCGUAAAACUCUGUUAUUAGGGAAGAACAUAUGUGUAAGUAACUGUGCACAUCUUGACGGUACCUAAUCAGAAAGCCACGGCUAACUACGUGC
rnacentral:rRNA from 1 species